CAGGGUUACGCCACAGUGGUUACCAAUGGUUAAGUUUAGGGCCAGGGUGGGUAUAGCCACCGGGGUUACUAACGGGUAGGUUUAGAGCCCGGGUGUGUAUAGCCAUAGGAGUUACUAACUGGUAGGUUUAGGGCCAGGGUUGGUAUAGCCGCUGGGGUUACUAACGGGUAGGUUUAGAUUCAGGGUGGGUAUAGCCAUAGGAAUUACUAACGGGUAGGUUUAGGGCCAGGGUUGGUAUAGCCGCUGGGGUUACUAACGGGUAGGUUUAGAUUCAGGGUGGGUAUAGCCAUAGGAAUUACUAACGGGUAGGUUUAGGGCCAGGGUUGGUAUAGCCGUUGGGGUUACUAACGGGUAGGUUUAGUGCCAGGGUGGGUAUAGCCAUAGUAGUUGCUAACGUGUAGGUUUAGGGUUAGGGUUGGUAUAGCCGCUGGGGGUUAGGGUUAGGGUUAGGGUUAGGGUUAGGUUAGGUUAGGGUUAGGGUUAGGGUUAGGUUAGGGUUAGGGUUAGGGUUAGGGUUAGG
ensembl:lncRNA